UACGUAGGGAGCAAGCGUUGUCCGGAAUCAUUGGGCGUAAAGCGCGCGUAGGCGGCCCUGUAAGUCCGUUGUGAAAGUCAAAGGCUCAACCUUUGAAAGCCGAUGGAUACUGCAGGGCUAGAGUCCGGAAGAGGCGAGUGGAAUUCCUGGUGUAGCGGUGGAAUGCGCAGAUAUCAGGAGGAACACCAAUAGCGAAGGCAGCUCGCUGGGACGGUACUGACGCUAAGGCGCGAAAAGCGUGGGGAGCGAACGAGG
rnacentral:rRNA from 1 species